UUUCUGUGCCAAGAAGAUUCGAGAAUUGUGAACAAAGAGAAGGCGACAGUAAAAAGAGAGAGAGAGAGAAGAGAACAGGGAAACAAGAGAAAGAAGAAAGAAGAAGAAGACGGGAAGCUGUGUGUGUUUUCUUUGAUCAGUUGAUUGUGUUCGACGGAAUUUUGUAUCGUUUCACUGCCAUUGUUCUUCUGUCUGUUGAUUAACAUUAUCUUCAUCUCUUAUUGUUAUUCAGGCACUGGGAACAGUGUGCUAUCAGCUUCUGUUACUUUGGAUUCAGAUCAACGGAAAAAAGAAACAAUGAAUGGAAGACAAGUAGCCUGUUGCUCAAAACAUAAGGGUAGAUCAUCAUCCUGGUGGUGGGCAUUGGUUUGCUGCGGGUCUCUCUCCUAAUAUUCCGGGCAGAAACAGGGUCUCCAUGCAUAGCAGCCCACAUUUUCAGGAUUGAAGGAGCGUCUUGGAGAAUAUUACUUGCAGUCAUGACGAUGAUCUAUGAAUUGUAGAUGUGAUCUUUGUUUAUGCGGCUUGUUUAUGCAGUCAUCCAUGGAGGAGAAGUGGAAGUUGCAGAUAU